rnacentral:rRNA from 1 species
GAUGAACGCUGGCGGCGUGCCUAAUACAUGCAAGUCGAGCGAACGGACGAGAAGCUUGCGUCGCUGAUGUUAGCGGCGGACGGGUGAGUAACACGUGGAUAACCUACCUAUAAGACUGGGAUAACUUCGGGAAACCGUAGCUAAUACCGUAUAAUAUUUUGAACCGCAUGGUUCAAAAGUGAAAGACGGUCUUGCUGUCACUUAUAGAUGGAUCCGCGCUGCAUUAGCUAGUUGGUUAGGUAACGGCCUACCAAGGCAACGAUGGAUAGCCUACCGGAGAGGGUGAUAGGCCACACGAGAGCGGAGACGCGGACCAGGCUCCUGAGGGAGGCAGCAGAAGGCAAUCUUCCGCAACAGGCGAAAGCCUGACGGAGCAACGCGGCGUGAGUGAUGACGGUGUUCGGAUCGUAAAACUCUGUUACUAGGGAAGAACAUAUGUGUAAGUAACUGUGCAGAUCUUGACGGUACCUAAUCAGAAAGCCACGGCUAACUACGUG